rnacentral:rRNA from 1 species
AGUGAACGCUGGCGGUAGGCCUAACACAUGCAAGUCGAACGGCAGCACAGUAAGAGCUUGCUCUUACGGGUGGCGAGUGGCGGACGGGUGAGGAAUACAUCGGAAUCUACUUUUUCGUGGGGGAUAACGUAGGGAAACUUACGCUAAUACCGCAUACGACCUACGGGUGAAAGCAGGGGAUCUUCGGACCUUGCGCGAAUGAAUGAGCCGAUGUCGGAUUAGCUAGUUGGCGGGGUAAAGGCCCACCAAGGCGACGAUCCGUAGCUGGUCUGAGAGGAUGAUCGGCCACAUUGGAACUGGGACAGGGUCCAUACUCCUACGGGAGGCAGCAGUGGGGAAUAUUGGGCAAUGGGCGCGAGCCUUAUCCAGCCAUACCGCGUGGGUGAAGAAGGCCUUCGGGUUGUAAAGCCCUUUUGUUGGGAAAGAAAAGCAGCAGGUUAAUACCCCGCUGUUCUGACGGUACCCAAUGAAUAAGCACCGGCUAACUUCGUG